CUAUCUCUGGAGAUGCAAUUGGUGGUGUGAAUUUUCCUACAUGUUUCGCUCUCUCUUCUUCAAAUGUUGUUCAUUCUUAUUCUGUUCCUUCACAAGCUAGGAACAUUGUUUUCAUUGUCAGUUUCUAAGCUAGAUUGAGCUUUCGAUUCGGGUUCAGGUAAUUUGGAGGCUAAUGCCUCUGGCGGCAGGAGGCCGGAGCUUAGUUGAUAUAUUAUGUUGUAUGCUAACAUGAUAUGGAUUUGGUUGCUAUUUAUGUUUCUGUCAUUUAUGAUUAUUGAGUUGAGACUGCUGUUGGGCAUUGUUGCCUUAUUUGGUGAGCAUGGGGUUUGUCCAUGCCACUUUGAUUUUUCGUCGUGUUUAAGUUUAUCUGUGUUGUAUAAACUAUCAGGUUGUCUGGUCUACGUGUUGUAGUUCCGUGACU